CUGACGUAAGAGGUACUUUUCAAAUAUUUACAAGAUACAUCAAUCUAGAUUUGGCAUUGAUAUUUCAUUACACCCAAAAAGAACUUAUACAACAUCAACCUAUCAAGUACAAAAUAUUUACCCCAAAAUCUUCUAGUCUUCCACUGCCUCAACCCAAUUUACAUAUUUUAGCGAGCGAUAAGCUAUCCUGAAAAAUUUAUAUAGCAACGGGGUGAGCAUAUAAAGCUCAGCAAAUGACUAACAUAUCCAUAGCAAAGAGGACAGGUUUCAAACAAAUAAGGUAUCAAAAUACAAAGCAGAGAUACAAGAUGAAACAGUAGCA
rnacentral:lncRNA from 1 species